GUUCGGUUCGAAUAACGGUUAGUUCGCAUCCCUUUCACGGAUGAAAUACGGGUUCGAUUCCCGUACCGAAUACA
rnacentral:tRNA from 1 species